AUGGCCAUGGAGGCGGCUCUCGUCAGCGUGGCCACGGGGGCCCUCAAACCCGUCAUAGGGAAGCUGACCGUUCUGCUCGGCAACGAGUACAAGCGUUUCAAGACAGUUCGCAAGGAGAUCAAGUCUCUCACUAAUGAGCUUGCCGCCAUGGAAGCUUUUCUCCUCAAGAUGUCUGAGGAUGAAGAUCCUGAUGUGCAGGAUAAGGUGUGGAUGAAUGAGGUGCGGGAGCUGUCCUAUGACAUGGAGGACGCCAUCGAUGACUUCAUGCAAAGCAUCGGUGACAAGGACGAAAAGCCAGAUGGCUUCAUUGAGAAGGUCAAGAACUCACUAGGGAAGUUGGGGAAGAUGAAGGCUCGCCGCCGGAUCGGCAAAGAGAUUCAGGAUCUGAAGAAACAAAUCAUUGAAGUGGGCGACAGGAAUGCAAGGUACAAGAGUCGUGAGACUGUCUCAAACACCAGAAAUGCGGCCGUUGACCCAAGAGCUCUUGCUAUCUUUGAGCAUGCCUCAAAGCUUGUUGGAAUCGAUGAACCCAAGGCUGAGAUAAUCAAGCUGUUAACAGAAGAGGAUGUUCGUGCUUUAGAGCAACAACAACAACAACAACUGAAGAUAGUCUCCAUUGUUGGAUCUGGAGGUAUGGGCAAAACAACUCUUGCAAACCAAAUGUAUCAAGAGCUCAAAGGACAAUACGAGUGCCGGGCCUUCUUAUCCGUGUCACGAAGCCCAAACAUCAUGAAUAUUCUGAGGACUAUUCUUAGUGAAAUUAGCGGUCAAGGUUAUUCUAACACGGAAGCAGGGAGUGUACAAAUACUCCUUAGCAAGAUCAAUGACUUCCUACUAGAUAAAAGGUACUUUGUUGUUGUUGACGAUAUAUGGGACGUGGAUACCUGGGAUAUUAUUAAGUGUGCAUUCCCUGCUACAAGUUCUGCUAGUAGAAUAAUCACGACUACUCGUAUAAACAGUGUCGCUCAUUCAUGUUGUUCAUCAUUCACUGGCUGUAUCUACAAUAUAAGGGCCCUUGAUAUGGUGCACUCAAGACAGUUAUUUCACAGAAGGUUAUUCAAGUCUGAUGAAAAUUGCCCUUCAUACCUUCAAGAAAUUUCUGAGCAGAUAUUGGAAAAGUGCCAUGGGUUACCUUUGGCGAUCAUUGCUAUAUCUGGUUUGUUGGCUAACAUAGAAAAAACAGAAGAUCUAUGGAAUCAAGUGAAAGAUUCAAUUGGCCGUGCACUUGAAAGAAAUCCUAAUGUCGAAGGAAUGAUGAAGAUAUUGUCACUUAGUUACUUUGAUCUGCCUCUUUAUCUAAAAACAUGUCUCUUAUAUCUGAGCGUAUAUCUAGAAGAUUCUAUUAUUAAUAAGAAGGGCCUGAUAAGAAGAUGGAUUGCUGAAGGAUUCAUUCAUAGAGAUGGUAAAUACACGGCAUAUGAGUUAGGAGAAAGGUGUUUUAAUGAACUACUCAAUAGGGGUUUGAUCCAGCCUGGGAGGACAGAUAUCUAUGGCGAAGUGAAGAGUUGUCGGGUUCAUGACACAAUUCUUGAUUUCAUCAUAUCCAAGUCCAUAGAAGAGAACUUCGUUACUUUACUUGGUGUUCCCAAUCUGACAAUUGGGAACGAAAGCAAAGUUGUUCGACGACUCUGUCUACAAGGUGUAAAGGAAGGAAAUUCAACAGGUCUCGUGUUAUCCCAUGUCCGAUCACUUAUUGUGGUUGGAGAUCUUGUGGAAAUCCCUUCUCUGGAGGAGUUCAGGCAUCUGCGUGUUCUCGACUUGAUGGAUUGCUCCCAAUUGGAAGAUCAUCAUCUUGAAAAUAUAGUGAGGUUGUUCCAGCUGAGGUACCUAAGUCUCAAAGGUGCAGAAAUAAGCAAGCUCCCAGAACAAAUCGGGCGUUUAGGGUGCUUAGAGAUUCUGGACCUAAGACGCACUCGUGUAAGGGAAUUGCCCGCAUCAGUUGUUAAUCUCAGAAGAUUGUCGCAUCUACUUGUUGACGAGGAUGUUAAAUUUCCUGCUGGGAUUGCAAAGAUGCAAGCACUAGAGACGUUGGAAGAUGUCGAUGCCUCCAUUCAGCCAUUAGACUUCCUGUGCGGCCUUGGUCAACUAAUGAAUUUGAGGAAUCUGCAGAUUGACCUUGGUUUGAGGAAUCUGCAGCACAACAAAGCUAUUGUCUCCUCCCUGUGUAAGCUAGGCACCCAGAAUCUCCGCUCCCUGACUAUUCAUGCAGGGAACAACCUCUUACAUGAGGAAUCUUUGUGCCUACGUACCUUCGAGGAUCUUUCUUUCUCUCCUUCGGCCUUCCCACAGGUUCCGACAUGGGUGGGCUCCCUCAAAAACCUCCAACGGCUAAGCCUUAUUGUGGAGGCGCUCAAGCAGGACGACCUCUGCAUCCUUGGAGCGUUACCCAGUCUGCUGAUUCUGGAUCUGGCGGGACAAACAGAGUCAAACAGAAAGCUCAGAUUCAGUGGUGAAGUUGGGUUCCGACUCUUGAAGAUUUUUAUUUAUGGUGGAUGGAUUAACUCAGUAGAUCUGAUGUUUGGGACAGGGUCCAUGCCAAAGCUAGAAAAAGUCGAGCUUAAUUAUAUUCGCAUAGUUGAAGCGAACUCUCUUGGCUUUGGAAUUGAGAACCUCCCUUGCCUCACUAGUGUCAAAUGCAUUGGUGUUAAGGGUGAUGAUGACAUAGUUGAAGCCGUGAAGACCGUCAUGGAGAGAGGAGUCAGCACACAUCCCAACCACCCUAGUCUACUCUUUCAGAGACUUCGCCGGUUCUGA
rnacentral:rRNA from 1 species